AGCUGAAGAGGGACCAGCAGGGGAGAGGAGCUGAGCUGGAAGUGUUCUGAGCCAUCCUCCAGCUCAGCUCCUCUCCCCUGCUGGUUCCUUCUUCAGCUGC
rnacentral:miRNA from 1 species